GACGAACGCUGGCGGCGUGCCUAAUACAUGCAAGUCGAACGCAGUGGGGACGGGUGAGUAACACGUGGGUAACCUCCCAUCAGAGGGGAUAACACUUGGAAACAGUUGCUAAACCCGAUAUUGAUGGAUGGACCCGCGGUGCAUUAGCUAGUUUGGGAGGUAAAGGCCCACCUAGGCGACGAUCUCUAGCGGGUCGGAGAGGAUGAUCAGCCACACUGGGACUGAGACACGGCCCAGACUCCUACGGGAGGCAGCAGUGGGGAAUAUUGCACAAUGGGCGCAAGCCUGAUGCAGCCAUGCCGCGUGUAUGAAGAAGGCCUUAGGGUUGUAAAGUACUUUCAGCGGGGAGGCGUUACCCGCAGAAGAAGCACCGGCUAACUCCGUGCCAGCCGCCGCGGUAAUAC
rnacentral:rRNA from 1 species